GGGCUCGUGGUCUAGGUGGUUAUGACGUCGCCUUGACGAGGCGGAGGUCCCCGGUUCAAAUCCGGGCGAGCCCACUA
rnacentral:tRNA from 1 species